rnacentral:rRNA from 1 species
GGCCCAGACAGCCAGGAUGUUGGCUUAGAAGCAGCCAUCAUUUAAAGAAAGCGUAAUAGCUCACUGGUCGAGUCGGCCUGCGCGGAAGAUGUAACGGGGCUAAACCAUGCACCGAAGCUGCGGCAGCGACACUAU